AAAAUAGUUAUCACAUUACAAUGUAGUGAAUAGCAUUAAACAAAGAUUACUAAUCUAUUGACAUGUUGAAAAUCAGACUUGCAUGCAGUUCUUAACAGCAUUCUAGCCCUAUUGUUUGUGUGAUUUAUGCAAUACUUGUAUGAUGCAUAAAUGAGAAAAAUGUAGCACAUGUUCAGACAAUUUAUAAUCUGGACAAUAUGUUUUUCCUUCAAUACAUAAGAAAAAAAUUUGUUGUGAUAAAUAUAAUAAGAAGGAUAUGCGUUAAC
rnacentral:lncRNA from 1 species